rnacentral:rRNA from 1 species
GGUCAAGCUAAUAAGGGCUUACGGUGGAUACCUAGGCACACAGAGGCGAAGAAGGACGUGGUUACCGACGAUAUACUCCGGGGAGUUGGAAGCAAACAUUGAGCCGGAGGUUUCCGAAUGGGGCAACCCUAAAUACUACCUGUUGAAUAUAUAGACAGGAAAGAGCCAACCCAGCGAACUGAAACAUCUUAGUAGCUGGAGGAAGAGAAAUCAAAAGAGAUUCCCUGAGUAGUGGUGAGCGAAAGGGGAAAAGCCUAAACCAAAAGAUUUAUCCUUUGGGGUAGUGGGACAGCGAUAUCGAAUCUGGCGGUUAGACGAAGCAGCUAAAUACUGCACCAAAGAAGGUGAAAGUCCUGUAGUCGAAAACUCAAGGAUAGUAGCUGAAUCCCGAGUAGCAUGGGGCACGAGGAAUCCCAUGUGAAUCAGCGAGGACCAUCUCGUAAGGCUAAAUACUACUGUGUGACCGAUAGUGAACCAGUACCGCGAGGGAAAGGUGAAAAGAACCCCGGAAGGGGAGUGAAAUAGAACAUGAAACCGUAAGCUUACAAGCAGUGGGAGGACGAUUGAACGUCUGACCGCGUGCCUGUUGAAGAAUGAGCCGGCGACUUAUAGGCACUGGUAGGUUAAGGCGAGAAUGCCGGAGCCAAAGGGAAACCGAGUCUGAAAAGGGCGCUCAAUCAGUGUUUAUAGACCCGAACCCUGGUGAUCUAACCAUGGCCAGGAUGAAGCUUGGGUAACACCAAGUGGAGGUCCGAACCGACUGAUGUUGAAAAAUCAGCGGAUGAGCUGUGGUUAGGGGUGAAAUGCCAAUCGAACCAGGAGCUAGCUGGUUCUCCCCGAAAUGUGUUUAGGCGCAGCGGUAAUGAUUAAAUCUGGGGGGUAAAGCACUGUUUCGGUGCGGGCUGGGAGACCGGUACCAAAUCGAGACAAACUCAGAAUACCCAGAGAACACAUUGCCAGUGAGACAGUGGGGGAUAAGCUUCAUUGUCAAGAGGGAAACAGCCCAGACCACCAGCUAAGGUCCCCAAAUCAUCACUAAGUGAUAAAGGAGGUGGGAUUGCAUAGACAACUAGGAGGUUUGCCUAGAAGCAGCCAACCUUAAAAGAGUGCGUAAUAGCUCACUAGUCAAGCGAUCCUGCGCCGAAAAUGAACGGGGCUAAGUGAUGUACCGAAGCUGUGGGAUUAAUCUAGUAUUAAUCGGUAGGGGAGCGUUCCGUAUUAGGUAGAAGCAGUAGCGGCGAGCAGCUGUGGACGAAACGGAAGUGAGAAUGUCGGCUUGAGUAGCGCAAACAUUGGUGAGAAUCCAAUGCCCCGAAACCCUAAGGGUUCCUCCGCCAGGUUCGUCCACGGAGGGUUAGUCGGGUCCUAAGGCGAGGUCGAAGGGCGUAGUCGAUGGACACAGGGUGAAUAAUCCCUGACUACUAUGUGGGAGCAUUGCGAGG